rnacentral:rRNA from 1 species
UCAAGCGACUAAGUGUAUGUGGUGGAUGCCUUGGCGAUCACAGGCGAUGAAGGACCCGGCAGCCUGGGAAAAGCCGUGGGGAGCUGGCAAGCAAGCUUUGAUCCACGGAUGUCCGAAUGAGGAAACUCACUUCCUUCGGGAAGUAUCAAUGAGUGAAUACAUAGCUCAUUGAGGCGAACGCAGUGAACUGAAACAUCUAAGUAACUGCAGGAACAGAAAUCAACCGAGAUUCUGAAAGUAGCGGCGAGCGAAAUUGGAAGAGCCUGCAAGCGUUAGCGGAUUCGAUACCGGAACGGUCUGGAAAGGCCGGCUACAGAGGGUGACAGCCCCGUACGGGAAAUUGGAUCUGUGAGACUAGGCUUGCGACAAGUAGGGCGGGACACGAGAAAUCCUGUCUGAAGAUGGGGGGACCAUCCUCCAAGGCUAAAUACUCGUGAUCGACCGAUAGUGAACCAGUACUGUGAAGGAAAGGUAAAAAGAACCCCGGGAGGGGAGUGAAAUAGAUCCUGAAACCGCAUACAUACAAACAGUAGGAGCCCGCAAGGGUGACUGCGUACCUUUUGCAUAAUGGGUCAGCGACUUACGUUCAAUGGCGAGCUUAACCGGAUAGGGGAGGCGCAGCGAAAGCGAGUCCGAACAGGGCGAAAUUCAGUCGUUGGGCGUAGACCCGAAACCAGAUGAUCUAUCCAUGGUCAGGCUGAAGGUGUGGUAACACACACUGGAGGGCCGAACCGACUAGUGUUGCAAAAUUAGCGGAUGAACUGUGGAUAGGGGUGAAAGGCUAAACAAAUCUGGAGAUAGCUGGUUCUCCCCGAAAACUAUUGAGGUAGUGCCUCGUGUAUGGCUCCAGGGGGUAGAGCACUGUUAUGGCUAGGGGGACAUGGCGUCUUACCAAACCAUGGCAAACUCCGAAUACUUGGAAGUCAGAGCACGGGAGACAGAGCACCGGGUGCUAACGUCCGGACUCAAAAGGGAAACAACCCAGACCGCCGGCUAAGGUCCCUAAUAUCGGCUAAGUGGAAAACGAAGUGGGAAGGCUAAGACAGUCAGGAAGUUGGCUUAGAAGCAGCCAUCCUUCAAAGAAAGCGUAAUAGCUCACUGAUCGAGUCUUCCUGCGCGGAAGAUGUAACGGGGCUAAGUCGAUAACCGAAGCCGCGGAUUCAACUGUAAAGGUUGAGUGGUAGGGGAGCGUUCCGUAAGCCUGAGAAGGCGGACCCGCGAGGGCCGCUGGAGGUAUCGGAAGUGCGAAUGCUGACAUGAGUAACGUUAAAGCGGGUGAAAAGCCCGCUCGCCGCAAGCCCAAGGUUUCCUGCUCUACGUUCAUCGGAGCAGGGUGAGUCGGCCCCUAAGGCGAGGCUGAGAAGCAUAGCUGAUGGGAACCAGGUUAAUAAUCCUGGACCGAUUGCAGGUGCGAAGGAGGGACGGAGUGCUGAAGGUCAUCCGGGUGUUGGAUAUCCCGGUUUGCGAGCGUAGGAAGCCGGCAGGCAAAUCCGCCGGCGAAUUUCCGAGGCGAAGCAUCGAGGCUGGUUUCAGCUGAAGUGACUGAAUGGACUUCCAGGAAAAGCUUCUAAGCAUCAGCCUGCAAUUGACCGUACCGCAAACCGACACUGGUGGGCGAGCUGAAUAUGCUCAGGCGCUUGAGAGAACUCAGGAGAAGGAACUCGGCAAAUUGACACCGUAACUUCGGGAUAAGGUGUGCCUUUGUAGUGUGAAGGGAGAAACGCCCCGAGCAUGAAGAGGUCUCAGAGAAUUGGUGGCUGCAACUGUUUACUAAAAACACAGCACUCUGCAAAGACGAAAGUCGACGUAUAGGGUGUGAUGCCUGCCCGGUGCUGGAAGAUUAAUUGAUGGGCUGCAAGGUCCUGAUCGAAGUCCCAGUAAACGGCGGCCGUAACUAUAACGGUCCUAAGGUAGCGAAAUUCCUUGUCGGGU